UUUUUUAAUUAAAAAGUGUUGAUUAUUUAGACAGGUUUUCAAUGGAUUCCACCGACGGAAACUAUCGUUUUCUGAUGUCUUGACUGGAAGGAAGGAUGGAACUGAAACACACUGACCUACCUCAAGAAACUGCUAGUUGUCAUCCUACCAGCUGAUCAUCUGGCAUCGUUCGGCAGAGAAAUAAAGUUAUUUCCCUGUUGAGGUUUAAGUAUAGGAUUUGGAUGAUUUUUUCCCUAUAUCUUUGAUGACGUGUCUAAUCUAGAGUCCAAUGGAAUCUAUUGACAUGACUGGCCUACCAGGACCAGAAUAAUUUUUUGGACAGUGAUGUUGCUGAACAUUGAGGACAAGGUGUUGCCGAGCCAAGGACACACCGCUGCUUUUAAUUUUUUUUCUGUUUCAGAUCCAGUCAACGAGAAUAAGGAUAUCCAUAGGUGCCAAGGAAUACCGAGACCAGGAGAAGGAGGACCAGGACCAGAAAGAAGAAUAAUUAUUAAUUGAUCAUCAAGAUUAAUAUUAUCAUUAUUAUUAUUAUUAUUAUUAUUAUUAAUUAUUAAUUUAGUUUAAGAUUAAUUGUAUUUAGUUUGAAAUUAUUAUUUUAUACAGGUGUGAGUGUGAUGAAUGAUAUUAGAAUAAUUUAUAAUUUAAGAAUGUAAUUUAUAUUUUUAUAGAGUGAGAAUGUUUUCGAGUGGCAUGUAUCUUUUGCAUUUUUCGCAUGGUGCUUGCGUGUUUUGCUUUUUUUUUUUUUUUUGAUUU